ACACACCAGAGCUCAGCCACUCUCGCAGUUUAGAGGUACGGUACUGUACCCACAUCCAGUUUGGUUCCUUUCAGCUGCAGGGUGCCAACGGUAACGUCAUGAAAGAAAACCAGACACCAGCACACUGCCGAAUGGUUCCACAGUCCAUCAAAAGGUAAAUCUUAACAUCUAUUUAAGAUUAAUUUGGACUCUGUCUCCAACUGACCUCAAUGCAUAUUACAUUUUUACUUAAAUGGAAGUUGGAAUUCACUCCCAAAUGCAUCAUUGCACUUGAACUGCAAGAGAAUUCAGCAGUGUACUGGUGUCUACUUUUCUUUCUUCCCUCUCGCUCACACAGAUACAUGCAGACACAGGUAGAACACCCUCAAGCCAAUGGACAGUCUAAAUCAGACACACAUCAGAUUUCACAAUGUUUUAGAUUCAGUUUGUGCAGCUGCAAAGAGAUGACCUAGUUUAGAUCAGCAAAAAAAAAUGCAGACAUUAUGAAUCAGUUGGUUUUAAUACACUGUUCACGAGCCGGUCUCUCUGAGGAAAAGGCAUGUAUCAGAAUUUCCAGUUUCCUACUAUAACAGGAGACAAGCAGGUAGACUUAAAAAUUGACACUUUAAGAGUAAAAGUGUUGCAAGUUUGGAGUCAAACUGAAGUCAAUAUUUGAAAAAAGAUACUCUAUUUUAAAUUACUUCACUUCUAAUUUAACCCACCUGCAGAGUAUUGUUAAGGAAUGUUUGGAGGGGAAAAAAACAUGUUAUGCACAUUAAAAUCUAAAAUGUCCAACUCAGCAAAGAAACAAUUUGGGAGUACAGGCAAAUGCCACAUUACAAUGAAGCUGCACAGAGAGAACAGAGUGCAAGAAAGCAUGUUUGCAAUCAAUUAAGUACACUUCAAGACUUUAUAAUAGACCUGGUAAAUAAAACUAAAACUUAAAUUCUGAUGAAAGAAAAUGGCUGUAAAAGUGAAAAUACAACCAAUAACCACACAAAUAUUUACAGUAAAUAAUAAUACAUUUAAAAACAUUACAAGUCCAACAGCUUUAUCCCCCUCUGUACUUCUUCAUACAACUCUGCUUCCCAGGCAUAUCAGAAACUUGAUGAGGCCAUUUACUAGGAUUAGCAGUUUUAUUGACUGUGUUCAGGUGUUCUGAGUGUAGUGGUCCCCAACCCUGGUUCUGGAGAGCUGCAGAGUGUGUGAGCUUUUACUACGGCUUUGAAUUGACACGUGUCCUGUUCAAAUAAGCAGUAAAUUAAAUCAACCAAGGUUGUUAUAGCUGGGCUGGAACAAAACCAUGCACCUCCUGUACAUCCUCCAGACCCGGGUGGGUGACCGAGGGCCUUUCAGACCUGAAUGUCAAUCUCUGGUGAGGCUGCCCUUCUUGCCCGUCCACAGCUCUCGGAGCUCCACCUGGCAGCCAAGGUCCCUGAGGGCAGCUUUUGCCAGGUCGCCACAGUCCCGGUGGGCCGCCAGAGCCUGGGCGAUGAGGGCCUCUGCUCCCAUCUCCAGGAUGGGCUGGUUGAAGACAUACUCCAUACCAACCUGAAGGACCUCAUGCUCCUCUGUUUGGUGAUCACCUGCUGUCGGCACAGUUUUCACUAUACAGCUGAGGUCAACCCCUGGGGAAUAUGGAGGAAAAACAGAGAAGGGAGAUUCAUCCAGGAUCAGGGGGUUUAUCUUAUACAUUGCAUAUCAUAUGGUUGAGUUACAGUAGGCGUGCAUGUUGCUCCUACAAUGUCAGAUUCAGAUCAAAUCAUGUAACGUUAGUAUACCUUGAGACUCAAACUGUUCUACCGCUUCUCUUAAGGCCUCCGCAGUGUCCAUGUCGAAAUCAUCGAUGUUUUCCUUGACCACCGCAUCGAAGGUCUCCUGCGUGAUCCUGCGACAGGCCAUGUCUGCAACGCUCAACUCAACUCGAAGAGAUGAAGACCAAGACUGAAAUGCAAUUAAACGAUUGCAAAAUCAGAAAGGACCCAACAUAGUCUACUCCAACAUGAUUAUUGUUGUGGGCUGUGUGUUGCUGGUGACACAAACGUCAGAUAACAACCGCCUGCUUAAAGAUAGCACGCGUACUAGCUAGCUACACCCCUAGCUAGCUAGCUCAACUUAGCCAUCAGCACACAAAGAUAGAUACCGGUAUCUAGCGAACUAUUUUUCAGAUAGCCGAGAUGCUUUAAGAAGACGUUUAGACAUACGUUUCUAAUAUGUUAACUUAGAAUAUAAUUACCGGGAACUUCACAAAAUAACAGAUCAUGUAUCACUUACCACCGCCCAGUGGAUGUGCUGCUGAUAAUGGGCACGUUUGAGUGGUAAGGUAACCGACUAAAUAAAUGUCGUGUGGGGUGGGGGGGUAGAACAGACAUAGUCUGUCCAGAAAAGACUAUGGGAGUCACACAGUACUACAUAGAUAGAUUCAUGGAUACAAGGAACUCUAUUCCACAUAAGGUAACUGAUGCAAGCAGGAAAAAUCCGAUAAAAAUACACCUUAUGGAACAGCAUGGACUGUGAAGAGAAACCCUUACACCGUAAUAAUGUUGUAGAGUGGUAUCAUACAUUUUGUGUUGUGGAUAUCUGGUGGUGUGACUGUUAUAUGAAGUACCGUUUUGUUUUAUGUGUAAUAUAAAUGUCAAUGUGUUUGGACCUCAGGAAGAGUAGCUGCUGCCUUGAACGGAGUCAAAAAUGUGGUUUCUAUAUGUUUGAAACCAUGCCACCCUACUCUGCUCUAGCUAUUACCACGAGCCCAUCCUCCCCGAUUAAGGUGCCACCAACCUCUUGUGAUUCCUUCGUUUGACAUGGUGGGAUCUUUUUUGUGUCAGUAAAAUGAAUGGCGGCAGAAGCACCUUUAUGAGCAAGUAUUGAUAUAAUAACCAUUAUAUUGAAGUAAACUUGGAUUUUUAAAUGUAUUUCAAAUGUAACCUUUAUUUAACUAGGCAAGUCAGUUAAGAACACAUUGUUAUUUACAAUUAGGGCCUAGGAACAGUGGGUUUAACUGCCUUGCUCAGGGGCAGAAUGACACCAUAUGUUGUGUAAUCAUCCCACCACGACUAGGGAAACCAUGCAGUUUAUUAGGCUACAGAUUAAAUAAUUCAUGAAGAAUUUAACAGGGUGGUGAAAAUGCAAGGUGAGCUUGAUGCUUUUCCCACCACGACUUGUUGGGAAUGCAUGCAGUUUAUUAAGCCACAGAUGAAAUAAAGUUAUGAUGAACUAACUUCACAGGGUGCUGAAAGUGCAAGGUGAUGAGCUUAAUGCUUUUUUCCAAUAUAUAUUGAGGGUCUGAUUCUGGUGACAUGAUGUUUGAUGCUGUUUUGACUGCUGUUUGACAAAUAUUCUUGCUCUUAUCCAUAAUAAUUUCAUCAUGUAGGCUAUACGUGCGCUCUAGCCAACAGCGCUCAGAUACCGCUGUUGGCUAGCGCACACUUGCCAAUACCAGAGUGGACACACUCGCUAUAUAAUGCAAACAUUUUUUUGUGAGAAAACAAUCAGUAGAGUUGAAAAUGCGAGGGAAACCCAUUUAACUUGUAUGUUUUUUUUCGGUACAUGAGAAUUUAACAGCAAAAUGUAUUUUUGUGUGUACUAUGUCAUCACGUACAGGAUUUGAUCUGCAACAGGUCAAUAUGAUGGAAACAUCUCUGGUGGGAAAAUGUGCACAUUGUUUUUAUGCAGAUUUUUGAAUAAUUGCAUGAAAAUCUGUCACCAAUUAAAUGGAAACCUAGAUACUAACCACGAAACAGAAAGUUUUGGUACAAUUGUAUUAUUAGGCAACAGAUUAAAUAAUUUAUUAUGAACUUUGCAGGGUGGUGAAAGUGCAAGGGGUGAUUUUGAUGCUGCUUUCCAAUAAAUAUUGAGGGUCUUAUUCUGAUGACAUGAUGAUCAAUGCUUGACAAAUAAAAACAUGAUCACUUGUA